UACCAGAUCAGGAGCUGCACCAGGACCAC
rnacentral:piRNA from 1 species